rnacentral:rRNA from 1 species
GACGAACCGUACGAACGUUUAUUCGGAAUCACUGGGCUUAAAGGGUGCGUAGGCGGCGCGACAAGUUGGGUGUGAAAUCCCUCGGCUCAACCGAGGAACUGCGCCCAAAACUGUCGUGCUCGAGGGAGACAGAGGUGAGCGGAACUUAGGGUGGAGCGGUGAAAUGCGUUGAUAUCCUAAGGAACACCGGUGGCGAAAGCGGCUCACUGGGUCUCUUCUGACGCUGAGGCACGGAAAAGCUAGGGUAGCGAACGGG